rnacentral:lncRNA from 7 species
GACCGCCCACGCCCCGGCCCGCGGCGCGUCCCGGACGUCCACGCUUGCGUUUCUGCGGAUCGUGGGAAUCCUUCUGCGUGGGAGUUUUAGAAAUGCUAACCGAGCUCAGGUUUUGAACAUGUCUGGGACUGUGAAUUGGCUGCCAGAAUGAAAACAGUUUAGGCUAAUCCCUACGGGUAUGCUGCUGCCAAGUUGGUUCUUUUACUGUGCUCAUCAGAAGUGCCAGAAAAAUACCCGCACCCGCCCCCCAUUUAGCCUCUGGAAGAAGAUGUUCUAAAGGGCUCACAAACAUCCAGAUGUAGCUCUUACCAAGCUCCAGCGUCAGAAGGAGUGCCUCAGCGUCUAAGUCCGUAUAUACACACACGGCUUUUCAUGCAUCCUCUGCUGGGGAGGUCACAAUCUGAGGCACCCUUUAAAGCCACUUCUGGGAGAAAAGAAAGAGAAAAAAAAAAAUCAACCACUGAACGUCUAGUGAGCUGUUUCCUAAGGAGGCAUCAACAAACUCCUACCAGCCCCAGUCCUCAGUAACGUCAUGAGAUGGGCUGCUUGUGGUUGUCAAAACUGAUCUUCCCACUGCGGGUGAACACGUACGGCGGAUUGUUAUGGCUUAGGGCGCUUGACUGCACCGCUGUGAAAAUAUUCAGCAGAAUUCCACAAGCUCUUUGUUUGCCUUGCCUUAGUGGAAAUUCCUCCAGCUAUCCAAACACGCACCUGGGGGAGGUGUUUUUUUUUUCCCCCUCCACAUUUCAGGAAGGGGUUUCUUCUAAGUAAAAAUGUGUCCUUACCUCUCUUCUAAGUUCUCAGGCAAGACUUCUGGUUUGAGUUGAAGAUGACUAUGAAUGUGUUCUGGUUGGAAAGGGAGGUGGAGUUGGAGGAGCCGGAGAGGUCUGUAGCAAAUGUUCCUCCAACAGAGCUAAGCUGGGAAAAGGAAAGCCAAUGGAAGCCAACAAAGAAGGAAGCACGAAGCAAGGCUCCCCCAGAUUCCUAGAAGCCCAGGAACACAAAAGCCAGGAAGAUGAAUCGUCUUUUACAGUAGUAGACCUGUAUAUAGGAACGGGGAAGAUUCUAGGGUGAAAGAUCCGGGCUGCCGCUGGUCACCCAGAAGGGAGUAUGUACCUUGAGUUUCGUAACACGGAAUGGAAGUUUGGAGGCCCCUUGAAAAGAACCAAAGCACAAAGGAAGUUGGGCCUGAAGAAGGCUGGGAGACCUCUCACGCAGAGACCCAGGGCUCAGGACAGAGAAAGGAAGGUAGAACGCCAAGUGGAUCUCAUAUUUGCUCUGCGGGCUUCUGGGAAGUGUUUGAAAACAUUCUAUUUAAACUGUGCCUCUUAAGAGAGCUCUCCACUUACAUCUAACUCAGUGUGCUCAUAUUAGCAAAUAGAAAUUAUGGGAACAUUCCAAGUGCUCCCCGCCUUCCUGGUCCUCCCUCCCUGACCCCGAUAGUCUGUCCUGCCUGGAGUCUGGGCGAAUGUUUGUUUCUGAGGGAUGGAAACUGAUUAAAAACUAGAAGGCUGCUUGGGAAAAAUUUUAUAAUAGCAUGUGUGAGGUGAGUUCCACAGAAGGCUAGGGAGGGCAGGAAGGCCCCGUGCAGCCAGGGCUCCAUGCAGGCCAUCUGAAAAAAGAGGCUCCUCUUCCAACCCAGAGCUGUUGUCUUAAUUGUGGUGGAACUGCUUUUCAUAUUCCCUUAGCUUUUUAACACUAAACCAAGAUGAGAAAUUGAGAAAUGAACAUUUGUUUGGUUUUUUUUCUUUUUUUCUUUUUUUUUUUUUUUUUGAGACAGGGUUUCUCUGUGUAGCCCUGGCUGUCCUGAACUCACUCUGUAGACCAGGCUGACCUCGAACUCAGAAAUCCACCUGCCUCUGCCCCCCAAUUAAAGGCGUGCGCCACCACUGCCCGGCUUGAACAUUUGUUUUCAAGCACAUAAGGCUGAUGUGUUCAGGUAGUACGUUUAAUACUCGAUUGGUGGCAUAUAUAUAUUAAAAGGGAUGUUAAAUUGCUCAAUCUUUCCUGGCUGUUCAUUUUGGACAGUCAACAGUUCAUGCCAUGGAAAGCAGGAGCUUUCUGCCUGGCACAGAAUGAAAGCAAAACUAAUACCUUUAUCAAUAAUGUGGAGAAGGCUCUGAGGGUCGUAAAAGCUAUGGGAAAGGGUGGAACCUAGAGAAUGUCUGUCAUUCAUAGGCUGUGGCUUACAGGAUGCUAUUGGCUAGAGCUCAUAAAGAAACUUUAUCCACUAUGAUGUAAAUUAUAAAUUAAACAU